GCCACGGUGGUCUAGCGGUUAGAACGCUGGCCUUGUAAUCCUGGGGUCUCGGGUUUGAUUCCCGGCGGUGCCC
rfam:Zootermopsis nevadensis contig32878, whole genome shotgun sequence.